rnacentral:snRNA from 1 species
CAGCUUCGGAAGCACCUAUACUAAAAUUGGAACGAUACAGAGAAGAUUAGCAUGGCCCCUGUGCAAGGAUGACGCACAAAUUUGUGAAGCAUUCCAUAUUUUU